GGGGGCGGCGCCUGGGGGCCGGGAGGAGCGCGGCUUAGCGGCCUCCAGACACAAAGAGCAGCCGGCGGGAGCGGGUGAGCAGCGCUCUGGCUCCGCGCGGGCGGACGGCGCCUCCCAGCCUGCUAUGGGAUGGAUGAAGAAGAGAAUCACUAUGUCUCACAGCUCAGGGAAGCCUACAGCAGCUGUGACACUACAGGGACCGGCUUUCUGGACCGUGAGGAGCUCACCCAGCUCUGCCUUAAGCUUCACCUGGAGCAGCAGCUGCCUGUUCUCCUGCAGACACUUCUCGGAAACAAUCACUUCGCCAGGGUUAACUUUGAGGAAUUUAAGGAAGGUUUUGUGUCUGUGUUGUCAUCAAAUGCUGGUGUUCGCCCCUCAGAUGAAGACAGUAGUUCUUUGGAAUCAGCUGCCUCCUGUGCCAUCCCACCGAAGUAUGUGAGUGGCUCUAAGUGGUACGGCCGUCGAAGCCGGCCCGAGCUGUGUGACGCUGCCACAGAAGCCAGACACAUGCCCGAGCAGCAAACCCAGGCCAGCCUGAAAAGUCCGCUCCAGCGCUCAGCGUCUCUGGAAAGUGUGGAGAGUCUCAAGUCAGAUGAAGAGGCCGAGAGCGCUAAAGAAGCUCAGAAUGAAUUAUUUGAAGCACAAGGGCAGCUGCAGACCUGGGAUUCCGAGGACUUUGGGAGCCCCCAGAAGUCCUGCAGCCCCUCCUUUGACACCCCAGAAGGCCAGAUCCGCGGCAUGUGGGAAGAGCUGGGGGUGGGCAGCAGCGGGCACCUGAGCGAGCAGGAGCUGGCUGUGGUCUGCCAGAGUGUCGGGCUUCGGGGACUCAAGAAAGAGGAACUUGAAGACCUGUUUAACAAACUAGAUCAAGAUGGAGAUGGCAGAGUGAGUCUUGAGGAGUUCCAGCUUGGCCUCUUCAGCCAUGAGCCCGCGCUACUUCUGGAGUCUUGCACUCAGGUUAAACCAAGCAGGCCUUGGUCUCAUUACCAGGUACCAGAGGAGACCGGCUGCCACACCACCACGACCUCAUCCCUCGUCUCCCUGUGCUCCAGCCUGCGCCUCUUCUCCAGCAUUGAUGAUGGCUCCGGCUUCGCUUUUCCUGAGCAGGUCCUGGCCUUGUGGACCCAGGAAGGGAUUCAGAAUGGCAGGGAGAUCUUGCAGAGCCUGGACUUCAGCGUGGAUGAGAAGGUGAACCUUCUGGAGCUGACCUGGGCCCUUGACAACGAGCUCAUGACAGUGGACAGUGCCGUCCAGCAGGCAGCCCUGGCCUGCUACCGCCAGGAGCUGAGCUACCAGCAGGGGCAGGUGGAGCAGCUGGUGGGGGAGCGCGACAAGGCGAGGCAGGACCUGGAGAUGGCCGAGAAGAGGAACCUGGAGUUUGUGAAAGAGAUGGAUGACUGCCACUCUGCCCUGGAACAGCUCACGGAGAAAAAAAUCAAGCACCUGGAGCAGGGGUACCGGGAAAGGCUGAGCCUCCUGCGGUCUGAGGUAGAGGCGGAGCAAGAGCUGUUCUGGGAGCAGGCCCACAAGCAGAGGGCUAUGCUGGAGCAGGACAUGGGGCGCCUACAGGCUGAGGAGGCUGGCCUCCGUGAGAAGCUGACCCUAGCCCUGAAGGAAAACAGUCGCCUGCAGAAGGAGAUUGUGGAAGUGGUGGAAAAGCUUUCAGAUUCGGAGAGGCUGUCCCUGAAGCUGCAGAAGGACCUGGAGUUUGUCCUGAAGGACAAGCUGGAGCCACAGAGUGCAGAGCUCCUGGCCCAGGAGGAGCGGUUCACAGCGGUCCUGAAGGAAUACGAACUCAAGUGCCGGGACCUGCAGGACCGCAACGAUGAACUGCAAGCUGAGCUGGAAGGCCUGCGGACGCAGCUGCCUGAGAGCCGGCACAGCCCCUCAAGGGGCCCAGGUGGGCGUGGACGGCAGCUCUCUGGACUCAGCCCAGCAGUGAGUAUAGAAACAGAGCUGAUGGUGGAGCAAGUGAAAGAGCAUUACCAAGACCUCAGGACCCAGCUGGAGACCAAGGUAAAUUACUAUGAAAGGGAAAUUGCAGCACUGAAAAGGAACUUUGAGAAGGAGAGGAAGGACAUGGAGCAGGCUUGCAGGCGCGAGGUCAGCGUGCUGGAGGGUCAGAAGGCCGACCUGGAGAAGCUCAACGAGAAGUCUCAGGAGGUCAUCCAGGGCCUGCAGGAGCAGCUGCAGGAUGCAGCCCGUAGCCCCAGGCUUGCGUGGAUGGGGCUGGCACCCUGCUGCACACAGGCACCGUGUGGCCUGGCCCUGCGGCAUCAGAGCCACCUGCGGCAGAUCAGGAGAGAGGCCGAGGCGGAGAUGAGUGGAGAGCCGUCGCGGCUGGGAGCCCUGCCUGCCUGCGAGGACCUGACCCUGGGGCUGGAGGAGCCACCGCAGGGAUUCCUGCCGCGCGGGAGCCGGAGGCCGGAACAGCUGGAGCUGAAGAGGCCACAGUGGGUGGAGCGGGGACCACCAAAGCCGCAGUCCCGUGCGAGCAGAGAGCAUGCCCAGAUGUGCGCAUCGUUGGCCCUCGAGGAGGACGGGUGGGAGCUCGCCCGCGUGAAGCGAGCGGACAGGCCCCACCGAGAAGCAGAGAUGCCGUGGGCCCUGCCGAAAGAUGGGCUGGUGGCAGGAAGAGGCCGGGAGGGCGCACACGGCCCUCCACCAUUGUGUCCGGGCUGCGGGGAGUGGCUACUGGCCUGGCCGGCCACAGGCAAUGGCGGAGGGUCCGGGGAGGCGGCAGGAGCCGGGCCUGGCCGCAGGCAAGACCAGGACAAAGACGCUGUGCAGAGUCCGGCCCCCGCCCCCGCCCCCGCCCCCGCCCCAGCAUCCCACAGGCCCUCAGACAAGUCUCCCGUGCAGCCCCGUGGAGUGGAUAGGGGGACUGUCCCAGAGGAGCCAGAGCCUUUCUGCACCGGCACAGCAGGCCUGGAGCAGCCUGGAGCACAGGAGCUGCCUCUGCUGGGGACAGAGGGAAACGCCUUGCCUGCCCAGCCAGGGAUGUGGGAGCCACCCCUGAACCUGGCCGCCUUGUGCAGGGGACAGGCUGAGAGCCCACAGGCCGUUCAGGAAGAACCUGCGCGGAGCUGGAGCAGGGUGCGCCCAGUGGGGAGCCAGGGGCAGGCCUCGGAGGGGCAGGCCAGGGCCGAGGGCGCCCUGGAGCCUGGGUGCCACCAGCACAGAAUGGAGGUCACCAGGAGAAGGUCUUCGCCAUCCCCCUUCCAGCUCACAGACCCGCGGAGCACUGGACAGGAGCACCUUGCUGUCCCAGGAGAGAAGGAGGCCGAAAUAGCGCUGGAGAGAGAGGUUGACAUGGAAACCAAACCUCUACAUCUGGAGGAAGUCGUCCCGGCUCUGAAGAAACACGAGAACGAUAGACUCGAGUUUCAGAGACUUACCGAAGAAAACGCUUUGUUGAAAAACAACCUGGGAAGGGUUCGGCAAGAGCUUGAAGCUGCAGAAAGCACUCACGAUGCACAGAGGAAAGAAAUUGAGGUUUUAAAGAAAGACAGUGAAAAGGUCUGCUCUGAGAUGGAGGCACUCAACAGACAGAAUCAGAACUACAAGGAUCAGUUAUCCCAGCUUAAUGACAGGGUUCUUCGCCUGGGACAGGAGGCUUCUGCCCACCAGACCCAAAACGAGGAGCAUCGUGUGACCAUUCAGCUGUUAACACAGAGCCUGGAGGAGGUGGCAUGCAGCUGGCAGCAGCAGAGUGACCAAAUCCAAAAACUUGAAGUUGAACUUGAACGCCUGAAUCAGGAAUGUCAGAGCAUGCGACUGUCACAGGCCGAGCUGACGCAGACCCUUGAGGAAAGUCAAGGCCAGGUGCAGGGAGCUCACCUGAGGCUGAGGCAGGCCCAGGCCCAGCACUGGCAGGAGGUCCGGCAGCUGCAGGAGCAGAUGGGUCAGCUGGUGCCCCGGGACCACGUGGCUGAGCUGCAGCGCCUGCUCCGUCUCCAGGGAGAGCGGGCCGGGAGACGCCUGGAUGCGCAGCGGGGACGACUUCAGGGGGGAUCAGGAGCCAGAGGGCAGAAGAAGGAAUUAGCACACGACCUGAGAAGUGGGAAGAACAUGAGAAACAGCUGAAAGCCACAGAAGAGCGAGCAGAAGAGGCGGAGUUGAUUCUGAAGAAUAUGGAAAUGCUGCUCCAAGAGAAAGCGGAUGAGCUGAAGGAGCAGUUUGAAAAGAACACAAAGUCCGACCUUCUGCUGAAGGAGCUGUACGUGGAGAAUGCCCACCUGGUGAGAGCACUUCAGGCCACCGAGGAGAAGCAGCGAGGUGCUGAGAAGCAAAGCCGCAUCUUGGAAGAAAAAGUUCGCGCUCUCAACAAACUCGUCAGUAGGAUUGCCCCUGCAGCCCUCUCUGUGUAAAGAUGGAUUAUUUCCUCGGAUUCAUUAGUAAGCACAUCUUUUAAAGUAAGCCGCCGUGAUGCCCUAGUUUUCCAUGGCUCAUCUGAGGAUUGGGAUUAUUUGUUCACCCACCAGACAUUUAAUGAAUGGUCUGCCCUGGGCAAGACAGAGGUGGGGGAAUAUGCACGUUGCAAAAGCCUGCAUUUUUAUUAGCAGUCCUGAGUAAUUUCCCUUGGCAAAAUUCCCAGAUUUGCCACUCACUGGAGCCGGAUUCUCGGAGCUGUCAGCAAGGAGCAGCUAAGUAAGCAGGUGAGGACAGCACUUUCCAUGUGCAGGCAAUGACCUUCUGACCCUGGCUGUCGGAUUGAAAUGUAAAAUCAGGGCUCUGCACAGUUUUGCCAUUUUACUGUUUUGCUCUGAGCUGAGGUUAUUAGAACUCCUGGUGGGGGGUGCAUACACACAUUCCAGAAAGGCUUCACUUGCUGGGAAUGUCAACCCCGCAAGAAAGGAGGGGAAGCCCCUUCUCCAGGGACCCUUGUCUUAGGUCUGUGGACUCAGGGAUGAUGGUGUUUAUUGCAAAUGCACAAUCUUUUUCCCAUUGAAACGUCAUCACACUGGAAAUUGCACUAUAUGUAAAAAAAAAAAGUAUAGUUUUAUAUUUGAAAUGUAUAUAAAUUAUGGCCAUAUGGCUGACUGGAAUGUACUACUGUAAUAUAAAAAGUCACUGUAUUUGCAAUAAAUUCUUUUCUAUUAAAAUUGA